rnacentral:rRNA from 1 species
GUGGGGAAUAUUGGACAAUGGGCGAAAGCCUGAUCCAGCCAUGCCGCGUGUGUGAAGAAGGUCUUCGGAUUGUAAAGCACUUUAAGUUGGGAGGAAGGGCAGUAAGUUAAUACCUUGCUGUUUUGACGUUACCGACAGAAUAAGCACCGGCUAACUUCGUGCCAGCAGCCGCGGUAAUACGAAGGGUGCAAGCGUUAAUCGGAAUUACUGGGCGUAAAGCGCGCGUAGGUGGUUCAGCAAGUUGGAGGUGAAAUCCCCGGGCUCAACCUGGGAACUGCCUCCAAAACUACUGAGCUAGAGUACGGUAGAGGGUAGUGGAAUUUCCUGUGUAGCGGUGAAAUGCGUAGAUAUAGGAAGGAACACCAGUGGCGAAGGCGACUACCUGGACUGAUACUGACACUGAGGUGCGAAAGCGUGGGGAGCAAACAGGAUUAGAAACCCCGGUAGUCC